rnacentral:rRNA from 1 species
CCCUACGGGGGGCAGCAGUAGGGAAUAUUGGGCAAUGGGCGAAAGCCUGACCCAGCCAUGCCGCGUGCAGGAAGAAGGCCUUCUGGGUUGUAAACUGCUUUUAUCUGGGAAGAAAACGCCCAUGCGUGGGUAACUGACGGUACCAGAUGAAUAAGCACCGGCUAACUCCGUGCCAGCAGCCGCGGUAAUACGGAGGGUCCGAGCGUUAUCCGGAAUUAUUGGGUUUAAAGGGUCCGUAGGCGGGCCAGUAAGUCAGGGGUGAAAGCCUGCAGCUUAACUGGAGAAUUGCCUUUGAUACUGCCGGGCUUGAGUUGCGGUGAAGUGGCCGGAAUAGGUUGUGUAGCGGUGAAAUGCAUAGAUAUAACCUAGAACCCCGAUUGCGUAGGCAGCUCACUAACCGCCAACUGACGCUGAUGGACGAAAGCGUGGGGAGCGAACAGGAUUAGAUACCCUAGUAGUCC